AUUAGAUACCCUGGGUAGUCCACGCAGUAAACGAUGAAUGCUUGCUGUCCGGGGGGAUUGACCCCUGGGGGGCGCAGCGAAAGCGAUAAGCAUUCCACCUGGGGAGUACGCCGGCAACGGUGAAACUCAAAGGAAUUGACGGGGGCCCGCACAAGCGGAGGAACAUGUGGUUUAAUUCGAUGAUACGCGAGGAACCUUACCCGGGCUCAAACGGGAGAUGACUCGGCCAGAGACGGCCGUUUCCGCAAGGACAUCUUCCGAGGUGCUGCAUGGUUGUCGUCAGCUCGUGCCGUGAGGUGUCGGCUUAAGUGCCAUAACGAGCGCAACCCCCGCGGGCAGUUGCUAACAGGUCAAGCUGAGGACUCUGCCCGGACUGCCGGCGCAAGCCGUGAGGAAGGCGGGGAUGACGUCAAAUCAGCACGGCCCUUACGUCCGGGGCGACACACGUGUUACAAUGGUCGGUACAGCGGGAAGCCAGGCGGCGACGCCGAGCGGAACCCGAAAGCCGGUCUCAGUUCGGAUCGGAGUCUGCAACCCGACUCCGUGAAGCUGGAUUCGCUAGUAAUCGCGCAUCAGCCAUGGCGCGGUGAAUACGUUCCCGGGCCUUGUACACACCGCCCGUCAAGCCAUGGGAGCCGAGGGCGCUUGAAGUGCGUCGCCGCGAGGCGCGCCCUAGAGCGAAACCGGUGACUGGGGCUAAGUCGUAACAAGGUAAC
rnacentral:rRNA from 1 species